GAACUUAGAAGAAUUAGCAAACAAGAAACAGAUUCUAAUCGGUUAUAUUAUAUAUAACUCUAUUAGGUGCUUUGUAGAAGAAAUAUAUAACAGUGCCUAUAUUAUAUACAUCUCUAGAAAAUUCAUCCCCUAUAGAACAAGUAGAAACACAAACCUAUUAGUUCAAAGUGAAAAGAAAAAGAUACAGGGAGAAGAAAAUCAUGCAUAUGGCGGCGCGGUGUGGCUCGAUCGGCGUUUACUUUUUUAUGGUAUUUCCUUUCCUACUCCGUUAUAAGAAUUUGUGCAUGAUAUUCAAAACCAGAUAACCACGACUAUGC
rnacentral:lncRNA from 1 species